GUCUGGUAUGAAAUUGGUGAGUGGGUGUGAUAUGAAAUACGUUUUCUAUUCACUCUUCAAAAGUCCAAAUCUCGUGGAGAAAACCAUUUAUUCACAAUAACAAUCACUAUCACACGAGCUAUUGACUUUCUCAUUAAUUUCUUUUAAAUAUAUUCUUUAAAGAGACUGGAUGUAUUAUUUUUCAUAUCAUAAUAUUAUUUUUUUGCAGUACAAAUUAGAAUAUGAUAUUUUAAAUCUUAUUUAAGAAAAU
rnacentral:lncRNA from 1 species